AGGGGGGCGGGGACCGCUUGGCCCGCGCCGCCCUGGCCGCCGAGCGGGGGAUGGGCCCGCGCCGGCUCCGGGAGCGCGACCCCCGGGUUCUCCCCGCGCCCUGCACCCGAGGUUUCCGCCCUGGCGGGGAGACGAGCGCGGCGCGCACACACACACAACGCCUCUUAAAGGCUCCGCCGGAGGCUCGGAGGGAAUCGAGGACUGCGCCUCUCGCAACUUGGCGGUGCCUCGAAACCCGCCGCUCGCGCACCGCCGGGGACUCCCGGCGCGUCCCGGUGCCCACAAAGCCAAAGAAAGAGAAAAGUUCCCCGGUUUCUUUGCAGAGGGGUAGGGGCUGGAAGUGGGAAGGUGCCUCGAACUGAGCUUUCAGGCAUUUUCCAAGCGAAAGAUUUGGCCAAAUCCGGGUGAUGGGAAACCCUUCUCUUAAUCAAUUUUGAACACUUGCUCAGUUUGGGAGGUCGUUUCUUAUUUGUUUAUUUAUUUUAUGUUGAAAAGAGCCGCUCGGUGCCUAUCUUUUCCUUGUAGGGUUAACAUUUCAUAGGUUUGUGGCCUGACAUUUUAAUUGCUCAAAUAAAGUAUCUCGGAUGCUGAGAAGCAGAAGUAGACUUCAUCUCAUUGUCAUGACGCAAUUAAAAUAAAUUUUCCUCAACUUUAUCCUCUCUCGUUGGUUUUAGCUCACUUGCAACCCAACAUCCUGCCACACACCGAGUCCUGGUAAGAGGGAAAAGACCCUUCUGCCCGCUGAUGGACAGGUGAAGGCAUCCGCUCAGUCUCCUCGUCCACACCCUCUGUACAGACAUGUAGGCACACAUGUAUCAGAUGCACAUUUGUCUAUGUUCGCAGACAAAGACUUCUGAGACUGUGCUUCUAGGUCAUAGAACAGUUGAGGACAGAUUUCAUUGCCUUGAAGUUCCUUUUAAGCAUUCAUACAGUCAUGAAAACACACCCAGAGAUUCGGCCCCAAAAUGGAAAUAAUACCUGCACAACUCACAAAAACACACACAGCCAUAUUCAUGCUGGAGAGUCACUGCAAAAAGCACAACUUCAUAGCUUAGACCAUUCUUUUCAGUAUGCCAACAUCAUUGAUAUGGUUGUGUCUUUGAAUUACAGGGUGCUUGAUUUAAACAUCAAACAAGUAGAAUUGCUCCCUACACACACACAUAUACUAUAUUCCACUGCAGUAACCUUGCUGUUUGAUUAUAACCAGUUAGUGCAUUAUGAUUAGUCCACGUUUAGACAAGAGAAUCGUGUUUCGAUCAAGGACACUUUACACCAAGAAAAAUUGUAAACCCAUAAGCCAACAAGGUUCAUGAACAAUUGUAAUAUUUUACACAAAAGACACCGAACUCCACAGGAAAAAUAGGAACAUUGUAAGAAGUAAAUUGAUGACUUCAGAAAAUUAUACUUAGCAGUUCAAAAACAUUGAUGAGAUGAAGGUGUUUAAAAAUAAACCACACAUAUAAUUGACAUGUGCAGCUUGCAGUCUGCAUUCAAUGUCUUUUUACACAGAUAGAAUACGAAGUAAGGAAUAAGUAGGCAGAUAGGGGCUGGUUUUUAGGGAAAGAAAAGAAUUCUCUGUAAAUUUCAUCCCUGGAGCCCUCCUAACCCUCUUAUUCUCCACCGAAAUCACAUAUUUCAUUAAAGCUGCAGGUGCUGGAGUUAUUUGAGUGUUUUAAGAAAUAACAACCUAUAAUAGGCACUGACUUGUCAUAAACCUGACUUGCUAUAAGGUUGUCACAGAGUGAAGCCAGGCUGAGAAUUUCAAGUUGAUUACAGACACAAUAUAACUUUUUCCUAAAGAGAACAAGAAGGAUGGAAAAGAAAUCAUUUCAAAGAGGGUUUUGGUUUUUUUCUCCCCCUUUCAACUUCUGGGAUUCCAGGACUUGCCUUAUGCUGUAAAUGUCAGAAGAUUAGAGACAAGUUUAGCAAUACUGAGACGGGGGUUCAGAUAGGAAAUCUAAAGGGUAUCCUCAUCUCAAUUUAAUAGAAGGUGAGAAUGACUGAUUAUAGGGAAAACUUAAUCUUGCCUCUGGAGUGCAGAGACGUCCGUGGUAAACAUUUUUUGCACACUCGUGAAGAAAUGAUUUCGAUGAUGAAGAAGAGCUUCACUUUUUAAAUUAUUUAGGGAUGGUUGGAAUUUCAAGGCCACAGAUUUGAAUUUAAAGGCCAUGGAACUAUUUGCCAGCUAUCUCUCCUAUAGAGUUGAAGCCUGCCAGGCACAAGAUCACAGGGCUGCCAUGAAGUUAGAAGCAUUUCACUAUGUUUUAGGGUCCAUUCACUUAUGGAAAUGCUGCUUAGGAGAGGUAAAUAUCACUGUGAAAAUGAAGUCAAUUUUAUUGCAUGGAAGCAGAGACAGGACAACUAGGCAGAAGAAAAAUAAAAGGCAAAAUAUUUUUAAAUGUCUUCUUCAGAUAUGGUUAUUUGCUUUAACUUUAAGCAGGCUCUCAGACUACAAGAUAAAUACCACUAUACAUAUGAUUAUUGUUUUUCUUUUAAAUCCAACACAGUCUUUUAUUGCAGAUGUAAAUUUAUUCUAAUGAGAGGAAUGGCAAGCUUUAAUUUGGCUAGUGAAAGUUGGAAAAAUAUUUGUCUUAAUCUUUAAAAAAUCAACCAGGGAUAUGAUUUUCUUGCAAAAAGUAGCCGGAUGGUCUGUGUUCUUUACAGAUUAAAUCACAAUAAGAAUACAGACCCCAGCACAUGCCGAGUUUAACUCUGAACUCAGUAGAAACCAGUUCCGUCCACCAGGAUUCAUUGAAUUCCUCCUUUCCCUCAAUCUAGUCCGUGUGUGUUUUUCUCUUCCACCACGCUGGAGCUCCAUGAAUGGGAAAAGGGGCUUCUAUUGUGGCCCUCUGAACUUCCAAGUCAAUGCAAUUUUUAACCACUGGCUUGUGGUACUUUGAAAAUCACCAGGGGCUGUCAGAGUUGGGUCCUCUGAAAAAUUUACAGUGCUAAAUCAGAGCAUAUGCCGGGAGGGAAAAAAUUGCUUAAGAUUGGAGCAAGUACAGUAUCCGUCUGCCCCCUAGUGUAAGAGUCCUCGCUGCCUAAAAUUCAACUUUAAAAGAAAAGGAGCUCUUAAAGGGAAACGACUUUGGGCUCACGUAGACAUAGGAGAAUGAAACUUCUGUACAUUUUAAUCUGAAUAAUUCUUCAGGAUUUAAAAUUAAUUGGCUCUGGCUUGGUUGGACUGUACUCGGAUCUCGCCGCCUCUGCGCUGCCCGAGUCACUGGUGAAGAGGUGAUGAUUUUUUUUUUUUUUUGAACUGGGUUUAUGUGCGUCCCUCUCACCCCCUCCUCUCUUUUUCUUUCUCUCUGUCUCUGUCGUCUCUCUCGCUGGCUUUUUAAAAAUGAGGAACCCGUUCCUUGAACGUUUUGGACGGAGCACAGAAUUGCUUCUUAAAGUCAGUCCGGCGCGGUUGCAAUAGACAGCAAAAAGGUUGCCUGAAACCCGCACGCCAGCUCCACCACCCUGCCCGACGGGUCUAGAAAAGACUCACGCAAGAAGCUUCUAAUAAAGAAGUCAAAGACCUCUUGAGAAUUGCCUCCAUAUAAAACAGUAAGAAGGUUCAGAGGAUCUGUAGCCUCCAGAGCCCAAGCAGGAAGAACCUGUGGCUUGUGAAUUAUUGCAUGCUGGGAAGAAGCUCACCAGGCUGCUAGAGGGAGGGGAUAAGAAGAAAGGAAAAACAAAGAACCUACGCGCUGAAGUUUGGAUUCAAAUUAUGUACAAAGAAGGAGAUCAGGUCUUCUUCCUGUUGUUAAGCUAUGAGGCGAAGAGGUAUCUGCUAUCAUGCACUCCUGCCGUGAUGUACUGUGAUGCACCCUCGGGCCAAAGCAGCAGAACUGAGAGACCAUGGCCUGAAACCUUUGGAACGACUUCUUUCUACAGCCAUUGGUAUGGAAAAUGUGCGGAAAAAAACAUUCACUUUGUUGCCUCCAAUUAGAAAAUUUCCAUUUCGACAUUGACAGGCUCUCCCCUUUCUCAUGUGGUAAGUUUGAUACCAAAGGCCAAAGCACUGCCUUUCUUCUCUUUUUGUUUUCUCUUCCCACAAAACCAGGUAUUAUUAGGUCUCUUGAAAAGCUGCACAAACCAACUGUUCCUCCACAGAUUAUCCCUUUCACAGCUCAGGUGCUGGGUCUCAUUGGUUUACACUUCCUGUGAGCUGUGGUCAAAUGUGGGCUGGGUCACUCGGCAUUAAUUCACCUUACGAGAGAAUGUUUGUAUUUGGCCUUGUAAGUCCCAUUUCCCCUGGGAACGAUCGUGUGUAGACUAUGUUUACACUGCUUGGCGGGCAGUUGGGCGCUGGCUUUUAUGGGACAACUGGACAUCAGAUGUCAGAAAACCAGGAAGUCAUUUUUCUCCUCUGCAACUUCAGUCAGCCAAUCAAGGAUAAGGUUUUUGAGUAUUGAAGCACAGUUAACUUGGAGGAAGCACCUGGAAGGUACUGAUGUUUUGUAACAGGACAGAAAUUUGCACUAUUGAUAGAAUUUUGAGGGCUGGGACUGAAGCUCCGUGAUAGACCGCUUCCCUUGCUUGCCCAAAGUUCUGCGUUUGAUCCUAGGUACCCCAAGAAAAAGUCACAGAAUUUCCCCUGAUCCUAUAUCUGAAAAUGCAAAUUUGUGCUGGUACACUUUAAAAUUUUUUACUUUCUUUUUUCUUUUUUUUCCUCCCUUUUUCCUCCUUAUUUUUCUUGGUAUUUUCAAUUUUUUUAUUAGUACAUGCUUGCAGUACAUAAUGUUUACCUUCCUUGUUGGGGUUGGUGCAGGUACAUAACACAUUUUAAUUCCUUUUUUCACCCCAUUUCUCUCCUCUGCCUUCCUCUGUCUCUUUGUCCCCUUUGCAUUAGAGAAAGAUCGACCUCUCUACUUCCUGUUACCUUUACGCUCAUUGUCUUCCAAGGGGUGAUGAGAUGGACACUUGUGUUGCUGUGAUAAGGUUCCUGAUGGGGCUGCUGUCUGUGGACUCCCUGGACUGCUGGGGAAGGGAGUCAAGAGUUCCUGCAGCAGAUGCGCAGAACAGUCAUGAGAAGGUUCGAAGGAGGCCAAGAAUAACAUCACUUUUCAGAUGAGGGGCAUGCUAGAGCCAAGAUCAUCACUGGGUUGGAGAUUGAACCAGGGCCUUGUGUGUGCGAGGCAGCAAGUGCUCUGCCGGCCUCUGUUCCCCACACUUUCUUACUCCUUACCUGUCCUCCUCCCUGGCUUCCACCUCUGGUUCUCCCCUUCAGCUCCAUUGUUCUGUGUGUUCCUAAAGCUCUUCCCUACCUGAUAUCAUCUUGUGGUCACGCCUUUAUCAUGUUUUGCUUGAAAAAAGCCCAAACUCCCUUCCCCUCCUCUCUCUUCCCUUUCUGUCCCCUCCCUUCCCCUUCCCUUUUCUUCCCUUCCCUCCCCUCCCCUUCUGUCUCCUUCCCUUCCCUUCCCUUCCCUCCCCUUCUCUUUCCUCCCCUUCUCUAUUGACUCCAUUGUCAUUUUCAGACCAAUGAACUGCUUUUUGCUUUUCUCAUCUCAUUACUUGAUGAUUACUUGGAAAACACAUCUUGAUGUUGCUUUCUGCCUUCUUGACCACUGUCUCCUGCUUUCUAAGUCCUGCCUUAUGUUCCAUGUGAUACAUGCCUUUUUCCUCUGCUCUGAUCUUUCUUGUCCUGGAAGCCGGUUGCCCAGGCACGGUCACAGGGUAUGGAGCCCUGGCACACACCAUGCCUGCACACCUGACAUGGCUUCCUGAGAGGGCCUUCCUCCACUCUAUCCAGGAUUUCAGCUCCUGAAUGUUUUCCUGAAGAAGUAAAGCUGGAUACCCUUCCUCAGUGAGCUUCUCUAGCCAGCAGAGAGACACUCUCUUCUUGUACAUGGCUACCUUACUGUAACCCUUUGGAAUGUCUUCUGGACAAGCUGAUCUCUGCAACUUAUAAUUGCUUCCUGUGUUUCAAAGCCUGGAAUCUUGCAGAAGGAAGCAGAAAUACUUGUUAUUGGCCUGAAUUAAGAUAAAAGGAAAAGAGAAGAUUAUAGCUGUUGGCACUUUGUUUAUGAAAACAUCAUUUUGAGGAUAUGCUUGAAUCAUGCAAAAGUAAUGUUUCCCGCUCCUCGCCCAGCAUAUUUUAAAUGCCAGCCCAGCCAGACAAAAGGAACAGUGAUCAGAUGGGUUGUACCUUUCCUACAUGCAGUGUAAUACAUGAUAGCACCAUCUAAUCUUUACUGACUUUUAGAUAUUCUGGAAAUACAUCUGAAAAGUAUAUAUAAGGAUUUACGAGUAUAAAAAUAAAGAAAUGUUCAUUGUAAAAAAUUACAGCCCUUUAUUUUAAAGUAACUUAAGUCUCACAAGAAGGUAUAAAAAUAAAUUGGAGAGCUCUUUUGUAAGUUUCACUCAGUUUUCCCCAAGGAUAAGCUAGCAUCUCAUUUAACAGUUGUCAAAAUUAGGAAAUUGAUUUAUUUCUGUUGACUCUGAGAUUUUAUUUAGAAUUCAUGGGCUCUUACAUGAACAUGUAACCUGGUGUAUACUAAUAUGUGGAGAUCAAUGGAGCACCAGUUUUGAGGGGGUACCAGUGAAUAUUGAUGUGCAGAGUUGACAUGAGUUCUCUCACCAGUGAAUAUUGAUAUGCAAGAUGCUUUGAUGACGUGAUGUUUUUGCAUCUUGUGGGGAACUAAUGAAGGGGUAGGGUUGGCUCCACUCAUGGAGAUCUUUUAGACUUAAUUGAUUCAUCUAUUCAUUAAAGAACUGAUCAAUGAAUCAACCUUGUGUCAGGUGCCAGCUUUGAUGAACUGGAGAUGUAUAGAUGGAGAAGGAGUCUGUGCUCCAGGAACACGUGAGAAGCAAUAGAUAAAAGAUCCAUUAUUACAAUGUAGGGUGUUGCACACUGUCUUAUACAUGAAGCAGUGCAACACCAGAAGCACCUACAGGUGCCCCACAUCAUAGUAGGUGUUAGGGAAAACGUAGUGAAGGAAGAGGAGGCAUUUUACUGCAAGUGAAUGAGACAAGAGUUAAUAUGCAAUGACAAUAGCAUUCCCUGUCAGAGGGCGAUGUUCCAGAGUGAUGGUUCUAAGGAGAUCAGGGGAUAUGGGUAAGCAACUCAAGAGCAGGUCACGUGGCCAAUCAGUGUUCUAAGAUGCUGGCAAUGAGCACUUAUGGGCUGCCUAGACCAAGCGCUCUAAUUCCACAUCAUAAGACCCUGUCUUCUAGUAUCCUCAUUGUAGCCCAUGCCUUACUGUUGUAUGAGCUGUCAUUGUUUCUUAGACUGACUCUGGCUCUUUGAUACAUCUGGUAUUAGACCUUGUCCACUCAGUGCUGGGAGGCUGGGGCUGGGAUUCAGAGAACCAAAGUAAAGGGAAUGUGGUUCUCUAGAGUCUACUUAGUACUGGGCAUUGGAAAAACUGUUGUGUGUUCCUGUCCUAAAAACUGAGAUUCUUAAUUUUUUUUUUUUUUUUUUUUUUUUGUCCUGGGAAUUGAACUCCCAACCUCGUGCUUGCCCAGCAGAUGCUAUGCUGCUGAGCUAUAUCCCUGCUCAAAGUUCCUUAUUUAAAAUGGGACAACAUCAUUGUCCUGUGGGUUGCUGUAGAGCUGAUCACAGAUCUUUGAUUCUCAGAGCUUUCAGCUGUUUUCCAUCAGACUUAAAGUGGUACCCUAGAUUUUGGCCCAAAGGUAUGGUCUACAAAGAGCUAUACAUUGUGGUCCUAAAUACUUAGAUCUUCUUUCCUCAAUAGCAUCAUAUCCUGUUCUACUGACAUGUCCUGCUAGUCUAGUCAUGCUGGCCUGUUUAAUGCUCUGUUCACUUACCAAGUUCUUUCCUACACCUGGACCUUUGCACGUGCUAUUUCCAGAAAUACUUUCCUCCUUCUCAUACCUUCACCUAAAACCUGAGUCUUCAGCCUUCUCUUACAAGCUGUUCUGCUUUGAAGCAUUUUUCAUAUCAUCUGCCCUAUGAUUCUUAUGUUCUACCUAUAAUUUGUGCACAUGAUGGUAUUUGGUAUUUUGCCUUCACUGGUGAGAUUAUAAAGUAUCUAUCUCCACUGUUGAACUGUAGAUUCUAUGAGGGGCUGGAUGAUGUCUAUUUUAUCAGCAAGUACUCACUAAAUGGAUUAUAGACUGAAUUACAGGAUGAGUGAAAAGCAUAAUGACAAAACCUUAUUUUUUCUAUAUGUUUAAGUAAUGGUACACCUGAGAUUUGGAAGUACUUACACACUGUUCAAGGCUCAUUUAUUUUGGAGUCAUUUCUAAGGUUUGUCUUUUUCUUAAUUUAGGAAGCUGAAUUUUCUCAUAAGAGGUCAUGGUUGACAAGGUUCUGCUUUUGAUUUUGUCUGUUCCCUGGAUUUUGCUUUGAAUGUCUCAUUUUGGAGAAUCUCAAGGCCACUCAAACAAGGAACAAACCAUCUGUCAGGCACCCACCCAUGGCUUGAAUGGUGGUGAAUGACAACAGCUCAGAGCUGCUUUCCUAAGAGUCCUAAGCAGAGUUCUUUGUCACACGUGAGGCCUGAUCAGGGGUGCACCUGGGCAGACAUGACAAAUGAGUGCAUCCUUGAAGAAGUAUAUCUACUGGAUUUUAGAUCCAAGUCCUGUCUUCACUGGCCUGAAUGAGAGAGAAGUCAUUACUAGGUUAAAUGAGGUGCAUUGUGGGGGAACAAAAUGAGGUAUUUGAGAUAGGCUCCCCAAAGAUUCAUGCACGUCCUUUAUUCAAAAGGCAUUUAGUCCUCUAAGAGUUGCCAAAAUCCUAACAGUUUUACCAUUGCUGAAAAGUCCAUGUCCCAAGUCUCCUCCAAGAUCUAAGGCAAACUCUGAGCUGUGAGCUCCUGUACAAAUGAAAAAUUAAACACUUCUAACAUUUGGUGACACAAGACAAACAUUACCAUUCCAGAAGGUACAAACAGGGGAAUAUAAAGGACUGGAACCAAAGCAAGUCCAAAACCCAACAGGACAAGUAUUAAGUGUUGUACUUCCAUGUGGGACAUCUGUGGCAAGCCGUGAGCUCCAAAGGGUUUGCGUGGUUCCACACCUACAGUACUUGCAUGGGUGUAGCAUCCACAUCUUCUCUCUUGGGCUCACUUUACUUCUUCCUUGAAGGUUUCCUCAGAUGGUCCACGUUUCUAGAUUCUCCAAAUCUCUGGGGCCUCCAUUGUACUUUUGGCUUCAUACUCACAACUUCAUACACUGCCUGUUCAGAGGCACACUUCCUGGCCUCCCAAACCAUCUUUUGAAACCUGCAUAAUCUCAAACUCUUGCAUUCUGUAUGUGCCUAAAACCAGCACCACGUGGAUGAUGCUAAGCUGUUGCCAGCUGGAGUGGCAGUCAACCUUUCUUUUCUUUUUGUAGUAGAGGUCAAGUGCCUGGUUGCUGAGCACUCUGGAUCUAAUUUUGAGGAACAAAUUCUCUAUGCUGCUGCCAUUCUGAAUCCUGGCAUGUCCACCUAUGCCACCAUUCUGGAACAUGGUGCUCUGUGGCUUUUUCCUCAAAGAAAAGUCUUUCAUUUUUGCAGUUUUGGGACUGCAAAAGGUGGAGCCUUGCUGCUUUUUAUGAUGCCCUCAGGCCACCUUUUCUAUUCUGUUCCUUCUCAGCAAUAGAGAUCUCUUCAGCUCUAUGUUUGUAGUCCAAAGCUUUAGUGGAGCUUCCUUUUUGGUCAAACUCACAGCAUUUUAAAUCAUUAUGUGGAGCUCUUUCAUUUUGAUUCUCAACAUAGAUCAAGGUAAAAUCCCUCAACAAUAGCCAUGCCACUACCUCAACAUUAGACUGUCUUGAAGUUUCUUCUGCCAGAUUUAUUAGUCUGCCACACUUAAUCUUAGACUCAGGCAAAAAUCUCUGGACAUGAGCAAAAACAGACAAACUUUCUACUAAGCCAUAAUACAUGUUGUCUGGAGUCCAGCAGCCAGUGUAGUCCUUAUUUCUAGCAGAAACCUUUCAAGCCUGGACUUUUCCUGCAGAAUUUCUAUCAGCCUUCUUGGCCUUUCCCAUACAGAACCACCUAACAUGUUUCAGCUCUACUCUUUCAGGUGACAUUUCUGAAUGUUUCCAAACUCUUCCCACAAGUCAUUCCCAAAGGCUCUUGAGUCACAUGGUUAUGUAAAGUCAUAGCAAUGAUCCCACUUGUCUGGCACCAAAUUCUGUGUUGGUUACUUUUUUCUUGUUGCUGAGAAAAUACCCAAUUUCCAAAAUUAAGUAAGAUUUAUUUAGCUCCCAGAUUGUGGAGGUUUCAGUCCAUGAUCUUCUGGGUACAAGGCAGGGUGACUCUUGUCAGUGGUCAAUAGUUCACUAAUGGCAGAAAACAACCAAAGUAACAAGAGCAAAAGAUGAGGAGAGAGUGAGGAGAGAUGACUCUUUAUGUCCCCUGUAUUGUACAUAGGCUACCACACUCUAUAUAGGAUGGGUGUAACACUCACACCCAUAAUUCCAGCAUUGGGUGAUGAAUCAAUCACAAGCUCUAGAAACCUGCCCCCAUGGCCACAUGAGACUUUGGGAGGACAUCCAGAUGCAAACCAUAACAACCACUGGAUUUGACACUGCAACUUCUGCUCUUGCCCAAAGUUAAAUUGACCAUGAAAAGUACACAAUUUGAGCUGAUUUGUGAUAUUAAGACAGCAAGACAGUCCUAAAUGAGCAUUUCCAGAACUGUUAUAAAAUGGAAAGAAUGAUAGAUAAGUGCAUUUGAAAUGAAGAGGAAUAUUCUGCAAAGGAUUAAGGGUAAUGUGUCUUUUAUUGUAAAAUGUUUUUAAAUUUAAUUUUCACCAUAUUUUAACAUUCACCAUAAUUUAAACAUUCACCAUAUUUUUUAAUCACAUCUCCUAUUUUCCUUUUCCUUGUCUUUGCUUCUAUUUUAUUUUUUUUCUGCCUUGCCAUUUGGGACCCCCCCCCCCCCGUUUAAUCAGAAGAUCAUUAUAAAUAGAAAGAAGACAAAUGUUAAAAUGUUGGAUGUAAAGAGUACAAAUGGCCAUGACAAGACACCAAUACAAGUAUUUGGAUUCACUGGGUCUCCAUCAAAACUUCAGUCAGCAGGAAGCUGUAGAGUGUUCUCUUGCCACGGGAAACACAGGAAAUCCAAGUUUAGUUUUAAAAGCACUUGACAUUUUUUGAGCUGGGAGGUAGGGUCCAUUAAAAAUGACUAAAUAACAAUGGUGUAGGAAAAGCUUGCUCUAUCCAAGGUUAGAAACUAAGGAGGUGAUUGUCCACUACUUGGUGAGAUAAAGGAUACAGCACAGUCAGCUGGCAUAUCAUGGGGAGCGGAGAGUCACCCCAGGACACUUUUCCAAAGUGCACUAGUGUCCUCACUGAUUCUGAACACUGCCAUUUACACUUCGCUUCUCAGCAACCCAGAACAGUCCCAGUGCGCAGAAGCUCCUUGAAUAUCACACUCCUGUUCUCAUGACUACCUAGGAAAUUUAUUUUCCUCCUCUUGACUAGAGAGUCCUUUGCAUGGAGGUUACCUCACAGUGAGGGGUUGCUUAGCUCAAGCCUCAGAAAGCGCACACUGCAUCUUUAAGAAAUAGUUUACUUGUGAAUCAGUAAAUGUACUAGACAAAGCAGCCAUUACUUAUGCAUUCCUGCAUACCCAGCAAGGUGAAAAUAAUAGAAUAAACAUCAUAUACUUCAUUAUGAUAUCGGUUUACACUUCCAGGGUACACAAAAAGAGGCCAUUUCAUCAAGCUAAUUGCCUGAAAGUAAAAGAGAGAGAACUUUAGCUAUUAGUCUAUUAUGGGGCUUUUUUCUUAAUCACAAAUAGGGGCCGUGUGUCCCUGGGGGGAUGUGUAUUCUAAUUUACAAUUGAACUACAGAUCAGAGCAAUCAAUCUUGGGCAGCACUUUUACAGUGUAAUUGCUGCAACAUAACAAAUAAAAAAAAAGCAAAGCAAAGAAGAAGAAGGUCUAAGCUGAGCUUCGGCUUGAGGUAGAGAUAUUUCCAGGCACUAGUUCAGGGUGGGAGGGAGACAAGCACCACACAGACAUGAAUAUGCAAUGAGGACUCAUUAGCGGCCUAGUGUUGCCAUGACGAAUGGCAUUAUCCCCGGCCUGGUGCUGCCUAAACAUGAAUUUUAUAACGACCCAUUUAUCAUGACUUGUCAUGGGCUUCGGUACCCUGCUUUCUUCCAGCACACACACCUUGCCUUGUUAUGGCGGUAGAAAUCUACACUUUCAUUAUGAUUGUUUCCUUUUGUAUUGACUUCUAGCUCUUCCAAGCAAGUGUUCAACUAUGGCAACAUGCUAAUAAGUGAUAUGUGACUUAAAAGUUGAACUAAAAGUUGAUUAUUCAUUCUAUCUUGACAAUCAUCAUAUGACAGAGAAAAGUUGGGUUCAACUUUGAAAGAAAUUUCCUCCUCUAUGAGUUUUUUGGUUUGUUUGUUUGCUUGUUUUAUAGUAUUCUGAUACUAUGGCUUAAAAAAAUUGAAAUGAACUAAGUUAUCUUCCUUUCAUUUCUUUGUAUUUCUUCUUUGUACUUCACAAACCUUACACUAUGUUAAGCAUAUAGCUCAAAAGUUUUGAUACCUUCUCAAAAACUCUUGGUAUUUCCAAACAUAUGUAAGAUUGAAAUGUUUGGGAGAGAUUUAGUGGUCACUUUUUUUUUUUUUUUUUUAUAAGGGCAUAAGUUGACUUGUUACUUAGAAGCUCUGGUAUAGUGUAGGGAGGAAGUCUGGCCAAAACUUAAUCCUAAUUAAAACUUAUUAAUAGAAAGAAAGAAGGAAAGAGACAAAAGCCAUCUCCCAUGUCAGACAGACCCCAAUGAGGUUUGGUCAGCCAGAAACCACAGAAUUGCCAGAUGCAAAGAAGUGAAUCUUUGGCACUGGUCAGAAGGAAGGAGGCUGUGCAAGCCCAUCAGAGUUAAACCCACCAGUCCCACAAAACAAGAGUCCUAGGUUGGUAUAAAUGCCCUUUUGCAGUCAGAGACAAAUUCAGUGAGCUUUAUAACUAGUCUGUUUACUUGCAAUAAAAAGAAGAGCAAGAAAAACUUGAAUUUCUAUUCAGCUAUGCAAAGGAUAGAACCACAGUUGAAUUAGAAUCUGAUGUUGCUUUGGCCAGCCAGGGAUUGUAAUUGUUUCUGAUAUAAUUUAGAAACAUAGUUUUCCAGGUCUUCUCUGUGUUACUGUCCUCACUGAGUCUUCUUGGAGUUCAUAUUAUUAGUGAUGACACUUUUAUAUAGUGAUAUUAUUUAUGUAAUAUAUAUAAUAUUGACAAUAGACUAUUUUGUAUGCUAACAAUUUUAUAAAGCAUAAAUAUUUAUAAAGUACUUUGACCAUGCAAAGUUCUUUCAAUAGAUCCUCAUGCUAGAUUGAAACAAGGCUAUUUCCUUCCCCUCCCAAAAAAAUUUCAGUGCUAGAGCUGGAACACAGGGCUUUGCAUACUCCAUCCCUGUACCAUGCUCCCAACCCUUUUUCCAUUUUAAAGAAGAGAACAUUGAGGCCAUGUGGUAAAUAAACUGACUCAAGCAUACAUAGAACAUGGAAGGGCAGGGACUCACUAUCAAGUCUGUCUUUAGAUCUAAGUCUGUGUUUUCAUGUAAUUGAAGUUACAGAAGAUUGUAAAAUGUCAGGUUGAGUUGCUUCUUCGUUUCCACAGAAGGUUGAUUCCAGGAUCCCUCAUGGAUAUCAAAAUCUGUGUCUGUUCAAUCCCUUAAAGAAAAUAGUGCAGUAUUUGCCUAGAAUCCUGGCAUGCCCUCUUGCAUAUUUUAGACCAUCUCUAGGUGACUUUUAACAUAUAAUAUAAUAAGAAUAUUAAAUGAAUAGAUAUAGUAUAUUACUCAGGAAAUGAUGUCAAGAUAAAAGGUCUGUACAUACUGGUGCAGAUGAAUUUUUUUCCCGAAAUAUUGUUGUACAUUUUCAAUGAAGGUGAAUUCCCUGCCCCCAAAGUGUCAUGUCCUGUGUUUGGCUGAAUCUGUAAAAGAGAGUCAAUGGUAGUGUCAUUUAGGAAUUAGUAAAAAAGUUAAUAAGUUGGGAAUGAAGCCCAAUGAAGAGGCGGCCAUCAUUUACACUUGAGAGCCUGCCUGUGACUCUCCAGUUACUUAUUAGAACUGAAACUAAUACACACAUGCCAAUUAAAAUUAAGCUGCUAUUCCAAUCUUUUGGAUUGAAUUGUCUUUCAUUGUUUAAAAGUUCACAUAGGAAAUAUUUUUCACUGUAAAGAUUCGGAUACAAUUCUGAACGGUGUUCCUGUGUUGUCAGUCUACUGGGUACUUUGUUUUGUUUCUGAAGAAAAUAUGCUUUGUGUUUUCCCUAUGAAUGUACUAAAUGGGAGUUUUAGAGAUAAUUUUGUGAAGAAAGAAUUUCCAAAUAUUGGCAAAUGAUAUUAAAAAAACACCAGUUGUGCCUGAACAGAUUAAGAGUGUCUACAUGACAUUAAACAUCUGGAUGAAGAAGGAAAAAAAGUAAAAACCUUGAUGUUUUGUUUAUUUGACACUAUACAUCUGGAUCUUUAAAAACAUCUGGAUUCUUAAUUUAUCCCCCCCGCCAAGUUUCACUGAGUGUUCAACAUUAUAUGCAGAAAGGUGAAUGGGAAGACUUAGUUCCAUUAUUACUGAAUUAGAUAAAAUGAUUGUGUGAAGUUAAUUUGCAAAUACUAAUUAUUCUAUUUAGCAGAACACAAAGUGAAUGAAAUCCUCCACCAGCCAAAAAAAUACGAGAAGAAAGAGGUAAUUUGGGGAUUUCAGGAUAUGAUGUUGCUUAAGCGUAUUUUAAUGUUGAUCAUAGUUUACUGUCCUCAGUUUCCCUGGGCAAAAAUCUUUUUCUUUCUAACCAUUUUGUUUCUUGGGGAGUAGUUUUGCCAUGUGUUAGGAGGACUUGUUAAUUUACAGUUUUUGGAUAAUAUUAGAAUUUAGUAAACACUUAGGAGCAUACAAGAUGCAUCUAAUAAUUGGCAUUUCCUUUGCCAAAUGAAUGAUCCAGCAUGAUAUAUUGCUAUUUCUUUCUGACAUACCAGAGGCAGAACCCCAAAGAGCAGCAACUGAACUGAACCUGAAAAACUUCAGCACAGUGAAAAGCACCUUAUGUGACUGACACUAGUGUGUGUGUGAUCUCAUCUAAAAAGUUUUCCUAAUUAUUGAACAUUUCCUCCAUAGCUUACUCUCUAGCCAAUCAGUUAUAAUGGAAAUGGUCUGCUUGCUUUUUAUAGUCUCAAGUUUUCGAAAUGAUUAGUGCUUCCUUGUGAUAGCCCAUUAAUUGGACACACAACCCAGAUGAAAAGGCUGAAGCCCCGAGCAUAUAAAAAAACAUAAGGUUGUUGCUAUUUAAGUGCCUUCAAAAGAUCUAAUUUGAUUUUUAAAAGCAAUUCUGCAGAUGUGAAAAUUAAAGGCACAAAGAAACAAGAUAUGGUUUAAUGACUAUUUAGGUUAAGAAACAUUUAGAGGUUUUAGUAGACUUACACCAAAAAAAAUUUUUUUUUUUAAAUUUAUCUCUUAGCUUGGAAAGAUUGGGUCCACAACACAGCAGAAAUUGCUGAAUUUUAUGGGCUGCUAUUUCCUUGAUCAAAUUGCUCCAUUCUUAGCCAGCGUGCUUCUGAAGGCAAUUUGGAUUACUUUGUGCAGAUUUUGAAUCCCAGUAUUCGUGAAUCAGAUUUUAAACUCUCACUAAGUAAGUCUCUCUACUUGGCUUAUCUUAGCUAUUUGUCAACUAACCCAUCCCCCCAUCCCAGCAAAUUGUACAACUUAUUCCCACUUUAAAAAGACAGGAAAAAAGAACGAAAGAAAGCAAGGAAGGAAGAAAGAAAAAAAAUAGAAAGCCCCUUCCCAUUGGCUCUAAUGACAUCUUCAGUCAAUAAUGAGUUAAUAAAAAUCUCAAAAUCAUCUGGGCUAGAUAAGGAGGAAGAAAGAAAAGUAUUGUACUGUAAUGACAGGCUCUGGGCUGCCCUCUGAGAUGUCAUGGGUCAGUCAUGUUAAGAAUGUGUGCGUCCAAUCAUCUGCUGAUUUUUAUCAGCGAGCCCUCCAGCAGGAGCUGACAAGGGCCAGUUUGGGAGCUACAAUGAAUAAACAAUGACUUUUUGGGUUGUUGGGGGCUGUGUAAUAGAGUGAGGGGUUUAUAUAUACUAAAACAUGAUGACAUUAGCAAUCAAUAUACCAAUUACUGGACAAGUUAUUGGAUGAGGCACUCACGUGUCCUCAGCCUUCUUCACUUUGAAGAGGCCUCUAGGGAAAGAGGCCCUAGGCUCAGAGGCAGGCAGGGGUCCAAGAUCUGAGGCCCCAUCUCAGAGUGCACAAGUCCAGCUCUGGAUGAUCUGAAUCAUAGGGGAGUUGAUUAAAAAUAUGGAGCCUUCUUCCCAGAGAUUCCAUCUCAGGAGUCUGAGGGUAGGGCCAGGGCUUGAUGUUUUUAAUCAGAGCCUCCAGGUAAUGCUUAUUAGACAGGUUAGGUUAGACAGGUUAGAAUCACUGCUGUAAGCUGUGAUUCUCAAAGUGCUGGCCCCAUGCAUCACCAAGAAGAGAGUGAGAAAUGCAGGAUCUCGGCCUCUUCCCUAAACCUGCUGAAUUAGCCUGCAUGUGGGUCAGAUGCUCUUCCCGUUCAAGACCUGUGGCUUGGGGCAAAAAUCCCCACCAACGCCAGGAGCACAGCCCUGUGCCUCACCAUCUCUGAGGUCCCUCAUGGAGAAUUCGUUACUCCCACUAGUUAGUAUGCUGCAGUUUGCAAAUAAUUUACUUGAAGAAAUCAGAGUUGGUCCGGUAUUAUCUUUGUAAUCAUGUCAUUUUCAUUUAGUUCUUCCCUGCCAGUUUUUUGUUUUGAAUGAUCUUGAUGUACAAAUGACUUUGAUUAAGGCAAGGAAAGAAUAAACAGAUAUUCUGUCUAUUAGAGUGGAAAGGGAGGGAGGACUUGUAAAAAGUAUUAAAAGAAAGCAAGAACUGGAAGAAAAAAACCAUUGGGAAGCAUUUCUUUCAUGUGUAGCUAAGAUGUACUUGAGUAUUCAAUAUCAGGUUUAAAGGCAAAUGUCCUGUGUAUAGGAUUAAGUUCAGUUAGUUUGGUUUUUAGUAGCCUCAGAGCCCACACUACGCUUCCAUUAGGAGAGGACACUGCAAAUGGACCAGGGUCCAACACAGCAUCAGGGGAAGGCGAUUGGCAAAGACCUUCUGGUACCAGGGCAACAGAGAGACUUCUUUUGUUCAGGCCAGUGUCUUUCUUCUGAGGCAGCCCUAAGGUUGCUGAGUUCUCCCAAACUUGGAUUAAUCUAUCAAAUAUGCAGGAAAUUUAAUUAGUGUUCAACAGAGGAUGUAUGAAAGAACAAUUUUAAGCUGCUACAAUAAUCUGAAACCAAGUGAGGAACAUCGAGAUAAAUUGACUUUGCACUAGUGCUCUGCAAAGCCGCAGACACCCUACUAUGCACUGUGUGAUCUCUAGGGAAGCGAUCCUCCAGUGAGUGGAUUUGAUCGCCAAAACCCUUUCAUAAAGGACAUCCUUAUAGAAUUAGUGUCUGGAGGUCAACUUUCAGAAGUCAAGGGUUCAAAGCUUCGAGAUGACAAAUAGUUAUGGGUAGGAGGGAGUUCUGUGUCGUAUACAGCAAGGAGUCGCUUUAUUAUAAUUUAUGAAAUGCUGUAUCUGGCAUCAGGAUUUCUUAUGUGGUGGCUUACUGCCAAAAGGAAGGUUCGUGUAACCAUCACCAAUGAGUUAAAUAAGUUGUCUAGCUAUUGAUGGUCUGGUUAAAUCAUCCCUGAAGUGUUGGCAAAUAUCCCAGAACAGUCAUUUGAAAAAAAAAAUUGUUUUAUUUGGGUUUUACAAGUGAGAUCACUUUGUGUUUUCAUACAUGAGGGAUAAUUCCCUCAUGACUCCUUCCAAGCACCCAGAAACUGCAGGCAGAAUUGAUUGUACCUCAGGCCAGACCUCACACUGAAAAGGAGAUCUGCUCCUUUCAAUGCUGAUCAUUUCUACCUCCCUGGGUUCCGGAUGGCCAUGCCUGUGGCUGCCAUCUUAGUCUCCAUAGCAACUAUCUGUGAAAGUGACGGAGAUUCGAGUUCAGGCCAGUAGAAAUUUUAAAUACAUAGCUGGUUAUAAAGUUUCUCCUCUUAAAGUUACUGCUGAAACUGCAUUAAUGCCAAAUGUUAAUUCUUGCUGAGGACACGCUGUCUUAUAAAUGCUAUGAAGGAAUAUCAUUUUUCCCUGUAGAAGUGAAGGUACUUUUAAGGUCGUGUUAAGAAAGGGGUUAGUUUCCCAAGUAACAUCUGCAGGUCACCUGCUUGCAUAUAAAAUCGCCCCUAGGCUACUCUCACCCCUUUGUUACACAAUAGUUAGGAGGAAUUCUCACAAGGAAGAAAGAAUGGAAUGUAAGUGACAUUGCAAAGAUAUGCAAAGAUUAAAAACCAAACAAAACCCUCAAACAAAACAAUCCCACCCGCCUAGGCUAAUAAUCAUCUUUUCUACAUACAAGUCUACCCAAGACUGAAAACUCAUUAGGGGAUUUCUUUCCGAACUAAAAAUAAUAGAGUAGACUCAACUUUGGGAGGUCCUCCUGACUUUUGUUCAUUUUCUUUGUAAACAUAGGACUGUAGACACCACAUAUGCAUCUCGGCUUUCCGGGCACAAGGCAUUUGAUGGAAGUCUCUCUCCACCCUGUAGGAAGGCAUUCACCAGAGCAAACAGAGAGCUACUCACUGCCGCUCUGGUUUGUUAUGUAGUUGAAUAUUUCUCCCCUUUAUAUUCUUUGAAAUGUUUUGAAUUAAAAUAGCUUACUGAAGGUCACUGGAGGCAUAUGGUCCUGCUCAAAACUUUAAACAAAACAUUAGUUUUUACAACCUUUUGUAAUUUGGUAUUGUAUACAACAUGGUUAUAUGCAGACUUUCUGUAAUCUUUUCAGUGGGUGACAGAAAUAUGAGAAGCAAAUUUAUAAGCCAUUUAGUGAAGCAUUUAAUCAAUUUCAUGCAUAGGAAAGAACUCCGAUUGCUUGGCUUUAUCAAUCUUGUUCUCCAGUACAGCUCUGGUCAAAUGUGAUCUCCAAAUGCUGUCUUGGUGGGGGAGGGAUCCUGUGGGUGCAACCACCGUGCCCCGCGCCGGAAUGGAAACCUCACGUCCUGCAUCAGCCUAGUGUGGUCGCCAGCGCCUUUGAGUCUUCUGGAUGCUGUUAAUAUAUUUCAGAGGGAGAGUCCAGGUCUAAUGUUUAGAGGAAGUUUUCCAGGCCUUCUACUGUGAAGUUACUCAUUAAACACUCUUUUCCCAGAGUGACUCUCACGUGCUCAGCCACGCACAUUGCAUGUGCAACCUCAGGCUUUGAGAAAUAGUUUUCAAAACCAGUUUUGGUAGCAAUUACUGCCCUCAGAUACACAAAACAUAAAAUGACACAUUAAAAUGUGACUUCUCCUAAGUUAAAGAACCAGAGCAAUGUGGCCAGAGUCACUGGAACCCACCGAAGGCUCAUGCUUCAGGGAGAGCUAGGUUGGUACUUUUCAGAAUAUUUAAACUGUCCUUCGGUCUUCAUGUUCUGAUUCCCUUUUACAUUGGUUGAAAGAUUAAUCCAACUCUUGGCAACAUAGAAGGUUAAUAUUUUCUUUGCUGUCAUGUGCUAGAAUCCCUCUUCUGACACUUUACCCCAAACACUAUCAGGUUCUUAAGUGAAAAAGUCCCAAGGGAGCCAAAGCGGAUCUCGAUAAUCAUUAUCUGCUAAACUAUAGUCCAAUUGCAUUAGUUCCCCCCUGUUCUGGAAGACUGGAACCAAUACGAAUGUACCAUAGAUAGAAUUUCUAAUUUAGAAAGCAAAGCACCUCCACUGAAUUCUGAGCCUAGAAUAAUAUUUCAUUGAUAAAUUUCACUCUAGAUUUGAAGCCAGUUUCAUUCAUGGGUCUCAUCUAAGUCACACUCCUUUUAGGAUGCAGCAGACAUAGAGCUUUUUCUGCAUCAGUUCAGUGCCAUGCCACUUGCUAUUUAUCUUGUGACAUUAUUUCUCUGAUAGGGGCCCCAAGAUUAUACUGGGCAGAAUUGCCUUGAUAUAUUACACAAAGCUGGCAGCUUUUAUGGUGAUUGGCUAAAGGAGAUUGGUUGGCCUUCCUGGGUUUCUGUCUGUAUAUCUAUACUCCGGUCAUUACAUUUUGGAUUAAAACAGUAUGUCAUUGACUUUUUAAAUAUAUAUAUUUAAAAAGUUCUGGGAAGCAAACUCAGGUCCUCACACAUGCUAGACAAGCACUCUGUCACUGAGUUAUGUACAUCUCCAGAACUUCUUAAAAAAAAAAAAAAACCAGUCAAUUUGGUGGAAAGAAGUCUUUAGUAUAAGAUCAAGAUGAUUAUGUUGGUAUAUGCUUGUAACCCCAGUACUUUGAGAGGCUGAAGCAGGAGGAUUAUGAGUUCAAGCCCAGUCUGCACAAUUUAGCAACUCAGUAAGAACCUGUUUCAAAAUAAAAAUAAAAAUAAUGGGGUAGAUAUAUAGCUCAAUGGGAGGGUCCUGGGUUCAGUCACUCAUAAGACCCCCUCUUCCAUUCACAGCUAAUUAGGACUAGGAAAUUUUAAAUUCUCAAAUAAAAUUUGGAACCGAAAGCAAUUGCCAGAUAUUCUCCUUGUAAACAUAAAACAGAGGAACCCAGCAGGAUGAUUGCUACUCAGUGGACUGAGGUAGCAUGAUCACAAGUUUAAGACAACCUGGGCAAAUUAGUGAGACUUUGCUUAAAAAUAAGGGAGCGAGGGAUUUGGGGUGUAGCUCACUGGUAGAGCGCUAGAUUGGCAUGCACCUCCAGAACCACCCGAAAUGUAGAUGAUCAAGCAGCUCUCCCUGUGGCUAUUGUCAAUUCCAUUUGCUUUUUUUGACUUCCCUUGAUGUGACCUAUGUUAUCAGAUUUGUGCAUAUUGCCAGGCCCUUCCCCAUUGGUAAAUCUCAAACACAGCUGUCAUCUUUUGUGUAUCAUUGUGGAUUCGGUAAUUUCUUUCACCCAGGUCUUAUAAAUCUUUUCUUGUUAGUAGAAACAAGUACAGCUCAUUCUUUCUAACUGCUUCAAGAAUUUUGGUUGGCCUGGCUGGAUCAGUACUCACCAAGUUAUUCUAUAUAAUGUACAUCUGGGUUCCUCCCACCUUUUGGUUAUUAUAAGUACCAUUUUGGUAGAUAUCUUUUUACAUAUUUUAAAAAUAUUUCUAUGUACUUACAUACAUAACACUAACAAAUUGUGUGCCCUGCUCUACCAUAAGCACUUAAAGUGAAAUUACUAGGUCGUGAGUGGACAUAUUUUAUGUUUGACUUGUUAUUUCCAAAUUACUCAGAGGUUUUAAUUGUAAAUGAAGGUACUACCAUCAUCUCUGAUGAAGCCUUUUCAUCUCACCUUAUACCUACAAUAGGCCCAGUUACUCUGAUUCUCUUUUAUAACUUUGCUUCUCCAAGAAGGUGGAUAGCACCCCAAAUGUCUUCCCCACUGGGCUUUUCCUCCUUCCUGGGAAAGAUGGGGACAGGUAACCUCAUCACCGGAACCUGGCCAGAUGUUUACAAAUAGUGGUGGCCACAUUCAGAGCUUGGAAGCCUCUAGUCACAAAACAAAACAAAGCAAGCACAUCAUCUGUUCAGCACAGAAUAAAGGCAGUGAUGCACAUCCAUUUCCACUGUAGCAUUAACGUCACAAUUCAAACAAUUGUUUUAACUUGCGUUAUACUUGAGACCAAUGUAUUUCCCUGAGCCCUUUUUUUCUUUUUUUCUACUUCUGUCUCCAUCUCUCUCUCUCCUCUCCUCUCUCCCAUCUCUUUCUCUUCUUCUUGCAUUCUUUCUUGUCCUGCACACGACCACGGAGCUAUACUCCUAGCCUCCUGCUUUUGAAGACAGCCUUGUGAUCAGAGAUAGAAAGUACUGUGAUAAAGGAGAGUUUGUUUAGGGCUUAAAGCUCAAGAAGUGGAUCGACUUGGUAACCACGGGCCAGAACAACUUUCCCUGUCCCUGUCACCCAGCAAGUUCCUGCUCCUUUCUGCUGGACCGCACCCUGUCCUCCUCUCCCUCUCACUGCUCCCUCUUGAAUCAGGCUUCAGCCCCUGUUCACCCCAAUGGCUCUGUGCUUGUAGUGCCUUAGUCUAGGUCUUGUCUCUUCCUUCAGUUUACCCUGCUGAAUCAUCAUGGAGCAUGAACUUGGUUUUGAUUUGUUACAGUUUGAGCUGGCUUCUUUUCUAAACUCUUUGUUCUGCUCUUCAACGUCGUCUAUGAUUUCUUCCUAAUAUUCAUCUUUUAAACACUGUUUUCUCCAUUUCCUAUUUAUUUUAUUUAGCAAAACAAAAAUGGUUAUG